ACUUGCACCGGCGAUGGAGCCCGUCCGGAAGUGCGACUUCCGAACCGCCACAAGGCUGAUGGCUUCUACGAACGA
rfam:Mycobacterium xenopi RIVM700367 contig22, whole genome shotgun sequence.